rnacentral:tRNA from 1 species
AGAAGCGUAAGCUAACUAAAGCUAUUGGGCCCAUACCCCAAAAAUGAAGGUCUUCCCCUCCGCUCCUA